rnacentral:rRNA from 1 species
AUGAUUGAGAAACUGAACAAAACCGGCGUCUCCUACAAACCCAGUAACCUGGAAGAGGACGAAGAGAAUCUGUACGGAGGCAUUAAUGAGUCUUCAAACGAUGUUGAACGUCCGCAAAAAGAGUUUUUAUAUCAAAAAGAUGAUUCAGACCGGUUCCGCACACCUUCCAAAAUGAAUUUGCAAAAGGAUGAUAACGGCGUUGAUGUAACUUCUCGUGAAAACACACCUUUUUACUGCACACCUGAGUACUGGGAUAGUUUCAAGGGUGAUAUGGAUGAUCCUGUCCAAGUACCAGAAGUAUCAGAUGAAAAAGCUGCCACAUCUUUAGAGACGGACGAAAUCGCAUCGCAUGUGUCGGUUGGUUCUCAAGGAGUACAAGAGGAAGUGGAGGAGGUUACUGGCAGGCGCAAGCGCAGAGGAUCACCACAUGUCAAGUCUCCUUAUGUGGUCCCUAAACCAAACAAACGUGCAAAACGUUCUGCCAAAGGAAAAUUGUUCCAAAAUGGUGAUGUUAACAAAUCUGGUGAUGAGUAUGAUGUGGUGAAAGCGUCCAUCAAGUACGUGCGUGCGCAUGAGCAUUUACAAAAACAUGCCAAAACAGAAAUUUUCAAUGAUGGCAUGGAAGAAGGUCUCACUGUGAGGAGAGCUUGUCAGAUUAUUAAUCAUGAGUGGCUAAGUGGCGACGUAAUUGAUGCAUACUCAUCAUUUUUGGUCGACAAAGUUAAUGAUGAUCGUUUCAUGUUAACAACUUGGAGGAUACAUUGGUUGCUUCAUGUUAGACCCGGAAAGAAGACCGCCGGUAAUGAUUAUGAAGCAGAGUCGCAUAGUAAUGGACCCGUGAACAGAUGUGAAGACGAGUAUUUCAAAAAAUCAAAGACUUACAUUCCUCUAAACAAGCAAAAUAAUCACUGGAUUACUGUCGUCAUGCAUAGCGGAAAAAGAGAGUUUCAGGUUCUUGACUCGUUGAUGACCGGAAAACUUGACACUGUUACUAGAGAACUCGUUGAGGACCUGAGAAAACAACUAGCAAAAGAUAUCCAAGAAGCAAAUGCAACCGGAAUUGUGAAUUAUCCGGAUUUUUCCAAGUGGUCUAUUCAAACGUAUGACAUGCCAAAACAACAUGAUGGGAAUUCGUGUGGAAUAUUUCUCCUUCGACGCUUUCAAAAUUGGGAUGGUGAAAAAUGGACAGGCUUAUUUUCACAGACCUCAAUUGAUGAUUCGAGAGAGUUAAUGAUUGCGCAACUUAUAUUUUCGGAAAGAAACAAGCUUGAUGAAGUGAAAAACAAAGUUAUUCGGAUAUCAAAGAAGAAGAAAUAG